UGACGUGGUAAGUGGGCCAGAUACACGUAUCCCUUGGCUUCUCCCCCAGAGAACCCCACUGGGUAGAUCUGGGGUGGGCCCAGAACCGACAUUUUAACAAGCACCCAGAAUGACUUUCACGAGCGUGUCCGUGCUACUAAAGCUCUAGAACAAAGAACGCAGUCUUGCCCGCAGAAUUUAUCAGCCUUGACUCUCCACCAACUCCCCUGAGGUGCUUUAAUUUUUCAGACGUUUGGUCCUCCGUGUUGCCCAAGUGUGGGCAAUGCCAAGACGUCAGAAUCACCCCCGCCCCCCAUAAUCGGAAGGGGUGAUUCCAGAGCCACACCCCAGGCCAGCGGUAGGGCUAGCAAAACCACAUUUUUAGCCAGCGCCCCUAGCGGCCGGCAGAGACGCUUCCCUAAACGGUUAUUAAUAAGAAAACACUGCUCAUCGGUUUAAACCCCUGUGUCAACAACGACCUGAAAGAAAAAUAACCCAAUAUUGCUGGCUGACAAGGAAAUCGCUUCCCUAGAAAUAAAUCCCAGACGCGUCGCAAUCAAUGGCUUGCCGGUAUUCUGCCAGGCAGAUAAAGGCCCACACAGGACAAUGGAGCAACGAAGCCCGGCCGCGGGCCCUCCGCACACGGCGUCGCCCGGCGAGACACCCGGCCUCGCCCCCUCCCCGCUGGGCCUCGCCCCCACCUGCUCGCCCCAGUCAUCCCGCGAAGCCGACCACCGCACUGACCGUCUCAUAACGCGGCCCGAGGACCGCGCCUACAGCUCGAACGGAAAGGACCCGCUUUGCCGCGGGCGCUGUCAGAGGACGGGAAAGGGAGAGACGGCGGCUCUCAGCGCUUCGCCCUCAACAAACCCGGCGGCCAUUUUCCUCCAUCUCCGCGAACUGACAGAUCACGUGGCCGCGGGUGACGGGGCGGGGCGGAAGAAGACAUCUCUAAGGCGUUGCGAACGAAGGCCUGCUCAAGCCCCUUCCUCGGGAACCCACAGGAGAGGUGUCAGCCCCGUGGAGCGCCUGUGGGAUCUGCACUCCUGGUCUUCCAGAGAGCCCACCGCCUCCCUCCCCGGCUCCCCAGACCCCUGGCCAGCCCGGGCCGUCCACCCAGUCUCUGCUGAAGGUACCUCGGUCUUUCCCGAGGCCAGAGGGAUUGACAGCUUUCAACUCACUUCUCACUGUUUCACUCGGUUCCAGACUCCUUCCUGGAAGUGUUCCCCUCUCUGGGCUUCUCUGAUUCUCAUUCUGCUAGUUUUUCUCCCAUUCCUCUGGCUGCACCUGCCAGAUUCGACCUCCCUUAAAUUGCUGGUGUUUCCAGGGUUCAGCGCAAAGCUGGACUCUUCACCGUCCCCACCCAGUGUGAUCCUCCUCCUGGACUGCUCCUGUCUGGGGACCUGGCUCCUGUCUGUCGCCCAGCCACCCAGACCGAGACCGGAAUUGGACCGUCUUCCCUGCCUCUUGCCCAGCUGCUUCCAAGAGAUGAAUUCCUUUUUCUAAGAUACCAUUUAAGUAGUCCCCAGUUUUGUAUAGCUUCCUGGGAAGACUUCAAGCAGAGCUGGCCAGUCCAUCUUCGGUAUCCAUAGGGCCUACCUCUCUCUUUUUCCACUUUCGUUGAUCUUUUUGCAGUUUAUACAGCUUGCCUAAAUCUUUCUGGCAAACCCAUCCGAAGGCUUUCCUGCUUCAGCAGAAACACGUCAAUCACUCUAAGAGUCCGGCCUCUCUACGUGUCCUGUGCCAUUACGUGCAAGGAAAACUAUGAGGUAUCGUUCCACCCCUCACCACCCUCCCCAUCAACACUGUAAUUUUAAUCACCCUUCUAUCUUUUUUAACAGUAUCAGCAUAUCAGGAUGAGGAUCUCAGCAGCCCAAUCUCCUUACAUGGCUUCAGUUUCAUUUUAGAUCACAUUUUCCAUAGAAAUCUUAAGAAGUUAUACACACUAUGUUGCUUUUAAAACGGCCUUCCUUUGGGGCGCCUCUUGGUUUCAGCUCAGGUCAUGAUCUCAUGGUUUGUGAGUUCAAGCCCCACGCCUAGGCCCUGCACUGACAGCUUUGCAGCCUGCUUGGGAUUCUGUC